rnacentral:rRNA from 1 species
UACGGGGGGGGCAAGCGUUGUUCGGAAUUACUGGGCGUAAAGCGCACGUAGGCGGUUUGUUAAGUCAGGGGUGAAAUCCCGGAGCUCAACUCCGGAACUGCCUUUGAUACUGGCAGCUAGAGUCCGGAAGAGGUAAGUGGAACUCCUAGUGUAGAGGUGGAAUUCGUAGAUAUUAGGAAGAACACCAGUGCGAAGGCGGCUUACUGGUCCGGAACUGACGCUGAGGUGCGAAAGCGUGGGGAGCAAACAGG